CUCCUCCUCCUCCUUCCUCCUCCUUCUCCUUCCUCAUCUUCUCAUCUGUUUCUUGUUCUAAUAAUUUGAUCAAUAGCAACAGUUUCGCAUCAAGUUGUUCAGAAAUUGGAAGCUUCAAAUGCUAGAAAUGUGUUUCCGCUUUGUCUUGAAGCGUUUCCAGGAAGAUAGGUGUUUGGAGUGGAUGGAAGGCAGAACUGCAAACUAUCACAAGGUUGGUAAAUAUUAGCAACUGUAAUACUUCUAACGUGUACCAUUAUGGCGUCUGCCAGCCUAGGAAAUGGGGGAGUUGGAAGUUCUAGGUCUGUUAAUGGCUUCAAGAGUUCAUCAAGCUCAGUUGACUGGCUGGGGAGAGAGAUGUUUGAGAUGAGAUUGAGGGACAAGGCGGACCAUGAUGAAGACAGAGAUAGUGAACCAGAUAUAAUUGAUGGUGUGGGUACAGAAGCAGGACAUGUCAUAAGAACCACUAUAGGUGGUCGAAAUGGUCAAUCUAGACAGACAAUAAGUUAUAUAGCGGAGCAUGUGGUUGGAACUGGUUCUUUUGGUGUUGUCUUCCAAGCUAAAUGUCGGGA
rnacentral:misc_RNA from 1 species